rnacentral:piRNA from 1 species
GGAAAAUGUUGAUAGUGGGGAUAAA